CCUACGGGUGGCUGCAGUGAGGAAUAUUGGUCAAUGGGCUUACGCCUGAACCAGCCAAGUCGCGUGAGGGAAGACUGCCCUAUGGUUUGUAAACCUCUUUUGUCAGGGAGCAACGCCGGCUACGUGUAGCCGGACUGAGAGUACCUGAAGCAAAAGCAUCGGCUAACUCCGUGCCAGGAGCCGCGGUACUACGGAGGAUGCGAGCGUGAUCCGGAUUUAUUGGGUUUAAGGGGAGCGUAGGCCGGCUUGUAAGGCGGCUGUGAAAGUCCGCGGGUAAACCGUGGAAUUGCAGUUGAAACUGGAGGACUUGAGUGCACACAGGGAUGCCGGAAUUCAUGGUGUAGCGGUGGAAUGCUUAGAUAUCAUGAAGAACUCCGAUCGCGAAGGCAAGUGUCCGGGGUGCAACUGACGCUGAGGAUCGAAAGUGCGGGUAUCAAACAGGAUUAGAUACCCUAGUAGUC
rnacentral:rRNA from 1 species